ACGGGCCAGAGAAACUACCGUUGCCUGGGAGGUUAAGUGAGUCUUACCAAAACAGAGCAGUGCUUGUUGACACCAGCGGCCGGGUGGAGAAGGUCUGUCCCGCCACUCUACCUCAUCAUCUACUAGUCUCUUGAUUUAAGGAGUGAGAAGAUUGCAUCAACAGCCCCAAGAGAACCCGCAUCAACAGACACAGAGGCAACAGCAGCAUCAACAUGAUUAAAAUAGCCGCAUCAAUCAUCCUGAUUGUGAUCAUUCUUCACAGUGGAGAAGGACUUCAGUGUUAUGUCAGCAAGACUACAACUGUCCAGGAUACUGCUUCACUAAACGCAUCA